rnacentral:rRNA from 1 species
CCUACGGGUGGCAGCAGUGGGGAAUAUUGCGCAAUGGGCGAAAGCCUGACGCAGCGACGCCGCGUGAGGGAUGAAGGUCUUCGGAUCGUAAACCUCUGUCAGCAGGGAAGAAAGGUCACUGUGCUAAUCAGCAGUGAAUUGACGGUACCUGCAAAGGAAGCACCGGCGAACUACGUGCCAGAAACCGCGGUAAUACGGAGGGUGCGAGCGUUAAUCGGAAGUACUGGGCGUAAAGCGCUCGUAGGCGGUAUGGCAAGUCAAGGGGGAAAUCCCCGGGCUCAACGUUGGAACUGCCUUUGAAACUGGCAAACUGGAGUGUGUGAGAGGAUAGUGGAAUUCCAGGUGUAGGGGUGAAAUCCGUAGAUAUCAGGAGGAACAUCAGUGGCGAAGGCGACUAACUGGCACAUAACUGACGCUGAGGAGCGAAAGCGUGGGUAGCAAACAGGAUUAGAUACCCGGGUAGUC